GUCGCGGGAGGCCGACUUACUUUGAAAAAAUUAGAGUGCUCAAAGCAGGCGCCUGAAUAAUGGUGCAUGGAAUGAUGGAAUAGGACCUCGGUUCUAUUUUGUUGGUUUUCGCGAGGUAAUGAUUAAGAGGGACAGACGGGGGCAUUCGUAUUGCGACGCUAGAGGUGAAAUUCUUGGACCGUCGCAAGACGAACUACUGCGAAAGCAUUUGCCAAGAAUGUUUUCAUUAAUCAAGAACGAAAGUUAGAGGUUCGAAGGCGAUCAGAUACCGCCCUAGUUCUAACCAUAAACGAUGCCAACCAGCGAUCCGCCGGAGUUCCUUCUAUGACUCGGCGGGCAGCUUCCGGGAAACCAAAGUCUUUGGGUUCCGGGGGAAGUAUGGUUGCAAAGCUGAAACUUAAAGGAAUUGACGGAAGGGCACCACCAGGAGUG
rnacentral:rRNA from 1 species